rnacentral:rRNA from 1 species
GACGAACGCUGGCGGCGUGCUUAACACAUGCAAGUCGAACGGAAAGGCCCUGCUUUUGUGGGGUGCUCGAGUGGCGAACGGGUGAGUAACACGUGAGUAACCUGCCCUUGACUUUGGGAUAACUUCAGGAAACUGGGGCUAAUACCGGAUAGGAGCUCCUGCUGCAUGGUGGGGGUUGGAAAGUUUCGGCGGUUGGGGAUGGACUCGCGGCUUAUCAGCUUGUUGGUGGGGUAGUGGCUUACCAAGGCUUUGACGGGUAGCCGGCCUGAGAGGGUGACCGGCCACAUUGGGACUGAGAUACGGCCCAGACUCCUACGGGAGGCAGCAGUGGGGAAUAUGGCACAAUGGGGGGAAGCCUGAUGCAGCAACGCCGCGUGCGGGAUGACGGCCUUCGGGUUGUAAACCGCUUUCGCCUGUGACGAAGCGUGAGUGACGGUAAUGGGUAAAGAAGCACCGGCUAACUACGUG